AGGCCGAUCCCAUUUAAGCUUCCCUUCUCAUCCCAUUUAAGCUUCCCUUCUCUUCUCGAAACUCUCUACUCUCUGCUCUUUACUCUCUAUCAACCCUCCUCUCAGCAUCCAUCUCUCUCUCUCUCUCUCUCUCUCUAUAUAUAAAAUUUUCUGACGCUUGGGGUCAGGCCGAUCCUAUUUAAGCUUCCGUUCUCUUCUCGCAACUCUACUCUCUGCUCUUUACUCUCUUUCAACCCUCAUCUCAAGCAUCCAUCUCUCAGCCUUCUCUCUCUCUCUCUCUCUCUCUCUCACACACACACACAAAAAAACACACACACUGGCACACGAUCGAUCGAGCCAGCGGAGGCUUUACCCAGAACUUGCUUAAUCUCCGGCAUUCUUCCCAGUAUUUGUCUAAUCUGAAAUUAAUCAACAAAGGCGUAUCUUCACCCUCCCUUAAUUAGUUGUUUCCGCGUCGAGUCUCUGAUCAGAUACCAGCUGGCUUCUUCUUCCUUUCUGUCUCUGAACAGGAUUAUUGGUCAGGUCUAUGACCAAGGUAAGCUGUUUGGAGGCAUGCCUUCCACAUUUAUGGAGAUAUUUGAGAAAGCUUUUUCAUCGAGGACUCUUCCCUCGGACCUAUGCAAAAGGUAAACUCUUGUACUGAGUAUAAAUUUGAAGUUAAUUUUUUUUUUUUACUAAUUUUUUCUUUUAAAAGUGUAAUUUCAUAUUACGCAUAAAUCAUGUCAGGGAUAUGUUGUUGUAUGGCCCAUUGGAAUUGGAAAAACAUUGAUUUUCAGGAAAUAGUUGCGCUACUGAAUGCUAGAGGUCCAUGGGUUGUAAGGGGCCUUAAAGUUCAGGCCAAGUACUUAGGAGGGUUGGUGGAAAAAUGAGGAAACUAUUUGAGCCUUCUCUUGAUGACCAUAAAAAAUAUGGUAUGCCACCUAAUUGUAUAUGCUGAAAUAUAUAGGCAUUUGCUUGUAUUUUUCAGACAAAUUGAAAUAAUGAACUAAAUUAAACUUUUUAUUUUCAAGAAAUAUGUGUCUGCUGCAUAUAAUUAUCGUCGAUGAAAUUGAUUUGGUGGCAAGAGUAUGUUUUGUUUUUAAUGGGAAAAAAAUUGAAUGUCUUUUUGUUAGCUAAUUUCUUUUUUUCUAAUCUAAUUUUAAUUAUGUUAUUCUAUGCAGAAAAAUGACUAUAUGUAGAGGAUGGUAGUAACAGGGUUCUAAAUCAGUUUUUAUCCCUCUUUAGUAUGGAUAACUCUAUAUUUUAUUGCAUGUUUUUGUAAAAAUUUUUGUUUAAGAACAUUUGUUCUUUAUUUUUUUGUAGAUUGAUAGAUUGAUGGAUUUGACUAUUUUAAACAUUUGUUAGCUUGAAUGCACCUUUAAUAAAGAACAAAUGUUUUUAAACAAAAAUUUUUAGAAAAACAUACAAUAAAAUAUAGAGUUAUCCAUACUAACGAGAGAUAAAAACUGAUUUAGAACCCUGUCACUACCAUCCUCUAAGUAUAGUCAUCUUUUCUGCAUUGAGUAACAUAAUUGAAAUUAGAUUAGAAAAGAAGAAAUUAGCUAGCAAAAAGAAAUUCAAUUUUUUUUCCCAUUAAAAACAAAACAUACUCUUGCAACCGAAUCAAUUUCAUCAACGAUAAUUAUAUGCAGCGGACUCAUAUUUCUUGAAAAUAAAAAGUAUGAUACAGUUCAUUAUUUCAGUUUGUCUGAAAAAUAUAUGCAAAUGCCUAUAUAUUUCAGCAUAUACAAUUAGGUGUCAUGCCAUAUUUUUUAUGGUCAUCAAGAGAAGGUUCAAAUAAUUUCCUCAUUUUUCCACCAACUCUCUUAUGUACUUGGCAUGAACUUUAAGACCCCUUACAACCCAUGGACCUCUAGCAUUUAGUGCAACUAUUUUCCUGGAAAUCAAUGUUUUUCCAAUUCCGUGGGAGCCAUAUAACAACAUAUCCCUAACAUGAUUUAUGCUAAUCUGAAAUUACAUUUAAAAAAAAAAAAUCUUUAAAAAAAAAUUUAACUUCAAAUUUAUACUCAGUACAAGAGUUUACCUUUUGCAUAGGUCCAAGGGCAGAGUCCUUGAUGAAAAAGCUUUCUCAAAUAUCUCCAUGAAUGUGGAAGGCAUGCCUCUUAAUGAAAAACACUUGCUUCAGUGAUUGAAAAUUGGAGUGGCGCUGAAUUGGAAUCCCUUGUUCAAGAAGCACUUUCCAAGGUUAUAGUUCGAGCUAGCGACAAUUUUCAGUGUUUUGAGGAAAAACUCAGAAUUAUUAUUGAAGAAGAUUUCCUUCUUUGUUUCUGUUGUAUUCAAAAUAUGAAGGAGUGUGGAUGGGUAGGAGUUUCAUGUUGGUGUGUACUUCUGUUACUCUACACUUUUCUAAACUGUACUUCUUCAUCAAGGAAUAGAUCUAUUGUAGUAGACAGCUAUAUCAUCAUUGCAUUUGCUUUCUUUCGGUGUAAACGUUCUGCCACUGUAUUAUUAUUAUUAUUAUUAUUAUUAUUAUUCGGAUU